UUCUGGUUGAUCCUGCCGGAGGCCAUUGCUAUCAGGGUUUGACUAAGCCAUGCGAGUCGAGAGGUGUAAGACCUCGGCAUACUGCUCAGUAACACGUGGUUAACCUGCCCUAAGGUGGAGCAUACUCCCGGGAAACUGGGGCUAAUCCUCCAUAGUGGAUGUAUCCUGGAAUGGUAUAUCCUCGAAAGAUCCGUCGCCUUAGGAUGGGACUGCGUCCGAUUAGGUUGUUGGCGGGGUAACGGCCCACCAAGCCAUUGAUCGGUACGGGUUGUGGGAGCAAGAUCCCGGAGAUGGAUUCUGAGACAUGAAUCCAGGCCCUACGGGGCGCAGCAGGCGCGCAAACUUUACAAUGCGAGCAAUCGUGAUAAGGAAACCCUGAGUGCCUGUCGAUGCAGGCUGUUCAUAUAUCUAAAUCAUAUGUGAAGAAAGGGCCGGGCAAG
rnacentral:rRNA from 1 species